rnacentral:rRNA from 1 species
UACGGAGGAUCCAAGCGUUAUCCGGAUUUAUUGGGUUUAAAGGGUGCGUAGGCGGCCUAUUAAGUCAGGGGUGAAAGACGGUAGCUUAACUAUCGCAGUGCCUUUGAUACUGAUGGGCUUGAAUGUACUUGAGGUAGGCGGAAUGUGACAAGUAGCGGUGAAAUGCAUAGAUAUGUCACAGAACACCAACUGCGAAGGCAGCUUACUAAAGUAUGAUUGACGCUGAGGCACGAAAGCGUGGGGAUCAAACAGG